rnacentral:rRNA from 1 species
CUACGGAGGGGGUUAGCGUUGUUCGGAAUUACUGGGCGUAAAGCGCGCGUAGGCGGAUUGGUAAGUUAGAGGUGAAAUCCCGGGGCUCAACCCCGGAACUGCCUUUGAUACUGCCAGUCUUGAGUUCGCGAGAGGUGAGUGGAAUUCCGAGUGUAGAGGUGAAAUUCGUAGAUAUUCGGAGGAACACCAGUGGCGAAGGCGGCUCACUGGCUCGAUACUGACGCUGAGGUGCGAAAGCGUGGGGAGCAAACAGGAUUAGAAACCCUAGUAGUCC